rnacentral:tRNA from 2 species
GUUUAUAUAGUUUAAAUUAAAACUUUACAUUUUCAUUGUAAAAAUAAAAAAAUUUUUUUAUAAAUA